rnacentral:rRNA from 1 species
CACGUAGGGCGCAAGCGUUGUCCGGAAUUAUUGGGCGUAAAGGGCUCGUAGGCGGCCAACUAAGUCAGACGUGAAAUCCCUCAGCUUAACUGGGGAACUGCGUCUGAUACUGGAUGGCUUGGAUUUGGGAGAGGAAUGCGGAAUUCCAGGUGUAGCGGUGAAAUGCGUAGAUAUCUGGAGGAACACCGGUGGCGAAGGCGGCAUUCUGGACCAAUAUUGACGCUGAGGAGCGAAAGCCAGGGGAGCAAACGGG